rnacentral:rRNA from 1 species
UACGUAGGGUGCGAGCGUUAAUCGGAAUUACUGGGCGUAAAGUGUGCGCAGGCGGCCGCGCAAGUCGAGUGUGAAAGCCCCGGGCUUAACUUGGGAAUUGCGCUCGAAACUACGUGGCUGGAGUGUGGCAGAGGAAGGUGGAAUUCCAGGUGUAGCGGUGAAAUGCGUAGAUAUCUGGAAGAACACCGGUGGCGCAAGCGGAUUGCUGGGCCAUAACUGACACUGAGGAACGAAAGCUAGGGGAGCGAAUGGG